AGGGCAGUGGCGCAAUUUGGUAGCGCACCGGUCUCCAAAACCGGCGGUUGUGGGUUCGAGUCCCGCCUGCCCUGCCA
rnacentral:tRNA from 1 species